UACGGGGGGAGCAAGCGUUGUUCGGAUUUACUGGGCGUAAAGGGCGCGUAGGCGGUCAGCACAAGUCAGUUGUGAAAUCUCCGGGCUUAACUACGGAAAGGUCAACUGAUACUGUGCGACUAGAGUGCAGAAGGGGCAACUGGAAUUCUCGGUGUAGCGGUGAAAUGCGUAGAUAUCGAGAGGAACACCUGCGGCGAAGGCGGGUUGCUGGGCUGACACUGACGCUGAUGCGCGAAAGCCAGGGGAGCGAACGGG
rnacentral:rRNA from 1 species